rnacentral:rRNA from 1 species
AGCAACCCUUUAAAGAGUGCGUAAUAGCUCACUGGUCAAGCGCUUCUGCGCCGAAAAUGAACGGGACUAAGCUAUUUGCCGAAGCUAUGGGAUGUUUAUAUAACAUCGGUAGGGGAGCGUUCCGCUGUAGGGUGAAGUAUUAAUGUAAAUGAAUAUGGACGAAGCGGAAGUGAGAAUGUCGGCUUGAGUAGCGAAAACAUUGGUGGAAAUCCAAUGCCCCGAAAACCUAAGGUUUCCUCUGCAAGGCUCGUCCGCAGAGGGUGAGUCAGGUCCUAAGGUGAGGUCGAAAGACGUAGUCGAUGGAUAACGGGUUAAUAGUCCUGUACCAAUUUUGAUUUGUGAAGAGGGACGGAGAAGGCUAAGCCAGCCGGGAAUUGGACUCCGGUUUAAAUAUUUUAGGCGUUGAUAAGUGGGGAAAACACUUUGAGCUGAGAAUUAUGAGUAAAAGGCAUUACUGUUUAUUUUUCUAGAAAUAGAAAAUUGAAUGGCAGUGUUCAAUUGGUCUAUGUCAGGCUUCCAAGAAAAGCUCUAAACACGUUAAAUCAAAAUUGCCUGUACCAAAACCGACACAGGUAGGUAAGUAGAGAAUACUAAGGGGCGCGAGAUAACUCUCUCUAAGGAACUCGGCAAAAUAGCUCCGUAACUUCGGGAGAAGGAGUGCCCUUUUAAGGGCCGCAGUGACCAGGCCCAGGCGACUGUUUACCAAAAACACAGGUCUCCGCUAAUUCGUAAGAUGAUGUAUGGGGGCUGACGCCUGCCCAGUGCCGGAAGGUUAAGGAAGUUGGUCAGCCUUUUGGUGAAGCUAGCAACCGAAGCCCCGGUGAACGGCGGCCGUAACUAUAACGGUCCUAAGGUAGCGAAAUUCCUUGUCAGGUAAGUUCUGACCCGCACGAAAGGCGUAACGAUCUGGGCACUGUCUCAGAGAGAGACUCGGUGAAAUAGACAUGUCUGUGAAGAUGCGGACUACCUGCACCAGGACAGAAAGACCCUAUGAAGCUUUACUGUAGCCUGAUAUUGGGUUUGGGCUUUUCUUGCGCAGUAUAGGUGGGAGGCUAUGAAGCUAUCCUUGUGGGGAUAGCUGAGCUAUCAGUGAGAUACCACUCUGGAAAAGCUAAAAUUCUAACUUUAAGCCGUUAUCCGGAUAAAGAACAGUUUCAGGUGGGCAGUUUGACUGGGGCGGUCGCCUCCUAAAAAGUAACGG